rnacentral:rRNA from 1 species
CCUACGGGAGGCAGCAGUGGGGAAUAUUGCACAAUGGGGGAAACCCUGAUGCAGCGACGCCGCGUGAGUGAAGAAGUAAUUCGUUAUGUAAAGCUCUAUCAGCAGGGAAGAAAAUUACUGUACCGGAGUAAGAAGCCCCGGCUAACUACGAGCCAGCAGCCGCGGUCAUACUGAGGGGGCAAGCGUUCUCCGGAUUUACUGGGUGUAAAGGGAGCGUAGACGGGAGUGCAUGUCUGGAGUGAAAGGCGGGGGCUCAACCCACGGAGUGCUCUGGAAACUGUACGGCUGGAGUGCAGGAGAGGUAAGUGGAAUUCCUAGUGUAGCGGUGAAAUGCGUAGAUAUUAGGAGGAACACCAGUGGCGAAGGCGGCUUACUGGACUGUAACUGACGUUGAGGCUCGAAAGCGUGGGGGGCAAACAGGAUUAGAUACCCGAGUAGUC